GAACCUUACCAGCGUUUGACAUCCUCAUCGGUUUCCAGAGAUGGAUUCCUUCAGUUCGGCUGGCUAGCACACAGGUGCUGCAUGGCUGUCGUCAGCUCGUGUCGUGAGAUGUUGGGUUAAGUCCCGCAACGAGCGCAACCCUCGUCCUUAGUUGCCAUCAUUUAGUUGGGCACUCUAAGGAAACCGCCGGUGAUAAGCCGGAGGAAGGUGGGGAUGACGUCAAGUCCUCAUGGCCCUUACACGCUGGGCUACACACGUGCUACAAUGGCGGUGACAGUGAGCAGCUAACUCGCGAGAGUGUGCUAAUCUCCAAAAGCCGUCUCAGUUCGGAUUGUUCUCUGCAACUCGAGAGCAUGAAGGCGGAAUCGCUAGUAAUCGCGGAUCAGCACGCCGCGGUGAAUACGUUCCCAGGCCUUGUACACACCGCCCGUCACACCAUGGGAGUUGGUUUCACCCGAAGGCAGUGCGCUAACCGCAAGGAGGCAGCUGACCACGGUGGGAUCAGCGACUGGGGUGAAGUCGUAACAAGGUAGCCGUAGGGGAACCUGCGGCUGGAUCACCUCCUUU
rnacentral:ncRNA from 1 species